GCUUGUCUCGGUCACGUCACGUUUUCGCUGAACACAAACGCAGACGGUAUUUGUCGGACCCAUUUGUCAACAAACCAGGUGAAUCCAGCAUGUCUGUGCAAGGAGAAGAUCAGCUGCUGGAGAUCGCAAAUGAUGGCGGCCUUAAAAGCCGGUGUCCUUUCCACCAGUACAUGCCCAGCAAGCCGGCUAAAUACGGGAUCAAGUCAUGGGUGACCUGCAAUGCAAAAUCCAGCUACGCUUGGAAGAUGCAAGUGUACACCGGAAAGCCGGUGACGUCAUUACGGUAAGCGUGCUGCAUCAUUUCAUGUUUUCUUGCUGCUGGCGGUGGUCGCUCUCUGUAUUAUCUCCUCCGCUAAACACAGCUGUUUCUCUGUAGCACUACGGCUAAAAUCACCGGUCUGUAGUUAAACACCCACACAUAACAACCCAUACUCUAUCUUGCUUAGUGAUUCUGUGUUCUGUUUGAGCUCACCCUCGUAGCUCUAUAGCAGCGAUGUCUUCUCUUUCUCCCUGUUGCUCCACUGCUCUCUCUUGCUCCGAGUGUCUUAUGUUUACCUACUCCUCUGCCUCCCUUAACAGUAGAGGUACUUGUAAUAAAUGUAGUGUGUUGGUAGCGAUGGAGGCGAGGCUUAGCGACUUAGAAGCUCGGCUCCGCAGCUUAGAAACUCUGUUAGCUGUAGUUAGCCGGCUACCGCUAGCCGCGGAGCCACCUAGCUUAGCACGUAGCCUAGCCUUAACUAGCAGCCCCCUGACUAGUCCCGUGCAGCAGGGAGCCCAGGGUGACGGUCCGGAGGGGGGCAUAGUGCUAGUCUUAAAAAGCCCACGAUUAAAGAGCCACCAGCUCACGUUUCAAAUAGAUUCUCUACACUCAGCGAGGCACCCGCUGAUAAACAAACUCUGAUUAUUGGCAACUCGGUUCUGAGAAACGUCAGGUUAGCGACACCAGCGACCAUAGUUAAUUGUAUCCCAGGGGCCAGAGCAGGCGACAUCGCAUCUAAACUAAAGCUGCUGUCUAAAACUAAACGUAGAUACAAUAAAAUCGUAAUUCACGUCGGCAGCAAUGACUCCCGGCUUCGCAUGUCGGAGGUCACUAAAGUGAAUGUUGAGUCGUUGUGUGCUUUCGCAAAAACGAUGUCAGACACAGUAGUUUUCUCUGGCCCGCUCCCUAACACAACAGGUGAUGACAUGUUUAGCCGCAUGUUGUCUUUUAACCGCUGGCUGUCGAGGUGGUGUCCUGUAAACGGCGUGAGCUUUGUAGAUAAUUGGCUAACUUUUUUGAGGAAACCUGGUCUUGUUAUGAGAGACGGCGUUCAUCCCACUUAGGAUGGAGCAGCUCUCUUAUCUAGGAAUAUUACUAAGUCUAUAACAUGACAACCCAUAGUUGGGACCAGGAAGCAGAGCUGCAGUGCUAAACACUUCUCUGCGUUCCCUCUGGAUCAGUCACAAAACCCCAUAGAGAUUGUGUCUGUCCACCGUCCGAUUAAAUUAUUGAAAUUAAACAAUAACAGAGCGAGAACUCCACACAAUAAUCUUAUACAAAUUAAAACAACCUCUGAAACAACACAGGGAACUAAGACUUUUAAAUGUGGUCUUUUAAACAUUAGAUCCCUGUCAUCAAAAGCUAUUUUAGUUAAUGAAAUAGUCUCCGAUUACAACAUAGAUUUAUUAUCCCUCACUGAGACGUGGCUGCAUCCUGAUGAAUAUGUCAGUCUAAAUGAAUCUACUCCCCCCAGUCAUAAAUUCACAGGUUCCCAGAGAAUUUGGGCGAGGAGGUGGAGUUGCUGCUAUUUUUAACUCUAGUCUAUCAAUUAAUCCUAAACCUAAACUCAGCUACAAAUCAUUUGAAUGUCUGGUUCUUAGUCUUCCACGCCAAUCCAGGAAACACCAACAGCCAAUCAUAUUUGCUGUAGUUUACCAUGCUCCCAGGGCUUAUACUGAAUUUUUAACAGAAUUCCCUGAGUUUUUAUCAAACUUAGACCAUAAUUUAAUAACCUUCGAUUUUUCAAUAACUGAAUAUAUGCCACUAAUAAAAAACUCAUUUUCUAGAUGUCUACCAGAUAGUGCUGUAGCAAAAUUUAAGGGAAUAAUUCCAAUUACAUUUAAACCCGUAUUAUCCGUAGAUAUAAAGAACAAAUUCUUUAAAAACCCGAGCUCCAUUGAGAUCGACCACCUCGUCGAUAGCUCUGCAGACUCAUUACGAUUAACAUUAAAUUCCAUAGCCCCUCUAAAAAAGAAAAAUGUCAAACAUAGUAAAUUAGCUCCGUGGUAUAAUUCCCAGACAAAUGAGUUAAAACAAUUAUCAAGAAAACUAGAAAGGAAGUGGCGCUCCAGCAACCAUGUUGUAAACCACAGACUGGAAGAAUAGUGUUAAAUAAUAUAAAAUAUAUAAAAAACUUUCAGUCGGGGUUUAAAGCCAAUCACAGCACAGAGACAGCCUUGGCAAAAGUCACUAAUGACCUUUUAAUAGCCUCAGAUCAGGGACUUGUGUCUCUCCUUGUUCUGUUAGAUCUCAGUGCAGCCUUCGACACAAUUGACCAUCAAAUUUUAUUGCAAAGACUCAAACAGUUAAUUAACAUUAAUGAAACCGCCCUUAACUGGUUGAAAUCGUACUUUUCUGAUCGCUCCCAAUUCGUGCAAAUUAAUGAUGAGUUAUCUGUGCGCAUCAAAGUAAAUCUUGGUGUUCCACAGGGCUCUAUGCUCGGCCCGAAUUUAUUCUCAUCAUAUAUGCUUCCACUAGGAAACAUUAUUAGGACACACUCUGUAAAUUUCCACUGCUAUGCGGAUGACACCCAGUUAUACUUGUCAAUAAAACCUGAACAAAGUAAUCAAUUAACUAAACUUCGAGCAUGUCUCAAGGACAUAAAAACCUGGAUGACCCGCAAUUUUCUAUUAUUAAACUCAGACAAAACAGAGGUUAUAAUACUUGGCCCCAAACACCUUAGAGAUACAUUAUCUAAUGAUAUAGCUGCGCUAGACGACAUUGCCCUUGCUUCCAACAAAGCAGUCAGGAACUUGGGAGUGAUCUUCGAUCCUGAUUUAUCCUUUAAUAGUCACUUAAAACAAAUUUCUAGGACCGCCUUUUUCCACUUGCGUAAUAUCUCAAAAAUCAGACGUCCUUUCGCAAAAAGAUGCAGAAAAACUAGUCCACGCCUUUGUUACAUUGAGACUGGACUAUUGUAAUUCAUUAUUAUCAGGCUCCAGCAGUAAGUUGUUAAAGACUCUACAGCUUGUCCAAAAUACCGCAGCACGUGUCCUGACGAGAACAAAGAAAAGAUAGCACAUUUCUCCAGUAUUAGCAUCCCUACACUGGCUUCCAGUUAAAUCUAGAAUAGAAUUUAAAAUUCUCCUCCUCACCUUCAAGGCCCUUAAUAAUAUAGCGCCUUUUUACCUUAAAGAGUUGUUAGUACCUUAUAAACCCACUAGAGCACUCCGCUCCCAGAAUUUAGGCCUACUUGUUGUCCCUAAAGUUUCUAAAAGUAGAGUAGGAGCCAGAGCUUUUAGCCAUCAAGCUCCUCUGCUGUGGAAUAAACUACCACUUUCAGUUCGGGAGGCAGACACCAUCUGUUCGUUUAAGAGUAGGCUCAAAACCUUCCUUUUUGAUAAAGCUUAUAGUUAGAGCUAAUUAGUGCGGCAGAACGUAACUUGUUCUAUUUUAUGACACAUGACACAUGGAGCUUCUUUUUCCAGCUUCUCCUUUCUCUUCUCCAUCCCUAUCCCCCUUCCCCGGAAUCCCUUUGCUUUAUCUCCCGCAGAUCCAGGGCCUCUGUGGCCGCACCAUGGAUUGCGGUUUGGUGAUCGCGCACCGGGGGUCGCGUGGUGGAUCCAGUGUGGCGGAUUCUGUGUCGUGUGGGUUGAUCCUGUGUCGCGUUGGCAUCGGGUACGGGCAUUGGACCUGGACCGCGGUGGCGGCUCGUGGUGGGGAGCGGUGGACGGUGACUCAGGACUGGAGUGGCGUUCUGGUCUGGAUGGUGGAUCGUGGUCCUGCUGGUUGCUGACCAUGGACUGUGAUUGCAGCGGGACUGCUUGGCAUGUCAUGUUGGGGUUUUCCUUCGGGAUGCUUACCCUCAUCAAAUGCUGCUAGAGACUUUAAUCUUUAAUCUUGAACACUUUAAUCUUGAUGAUGUUUUCCUGCACGUGUCAUCUAUUGCACUUCUGUCCGUCCUGGGAGAGGGAUCCCCCACAUGUGGCUCUCUCUGAGGUUUCUACGCAUUUUUUCCCUGUUAAAAGGGUUUUUAGUAGUUUUUCCUUACUCUUGCUGAGGGUGAAGGACAGAGGAUGUCACACCCUGUUAAAGCCCUAUGAGACGAAUUGUAAUUUGGGAAUAUGGGCUAUACAAAUAAAAUUUGAUUGAUUGAAAGCCGGGCAACAGACGCCCAGAACGGAAAUUGGGGUUGCGGGUAGUGCUUGAUUUAACGGAGGUACUACAUGGUCGUAACGUCACCUGCGACAAUUACAUCACCUCCUACGAACUCACACGGCAGCUGCUCAAAGCAGCGGUUAUAACCGUUUUUAAAUUAUACUUUUAUAUUGGAUGAGUAUGUGACUGAGGACCCGUUUAUUCUUUCUGGUGUUAGUAAAUGUACUUACAUGAUUCUGGCUGUUCUGUGUUUGUUUCAUAGUUGUUCAUAGUAGUUCUGUGUUUCAUAGUUGAAUGCUCUUAUUGUAAGUCGCUUUGGAUAAAAGUGUUGAGAGUUUUAAUGGAAUACUGAGAAAGUUUAAUAACAACAAUAGGACAAUUGAAGUUCAAAUUAAGAGGGAAUUUCAGCAGAGUCAACAUCUUAGUUUGCCAUGGACAUGUUGGACAUGACUGGUAUUCUUUUUUCAUAUAUUGCAUGUAUUACAUGUAUUUUUAGCUGACAAGCCCCUGUUGUCAUUUUUCUGAGGAGAUUGAAAAAGACUUGAAUGAUAAGGCACAUAGCCCUGCCCCAACUGACUUCAUUGUGUUGUUUGCCUGUAAUGCAAGGUUGUAUUAAUUUGAACGUAUUGCAUCCAAACCGCACCAAAUUCAAUACUGCACUUCCUCAGGUCAUGAAGAAUAAUCAUGCAAGUCUAAAGCUGAUAAGGUGAACAGUCAGAGUUACACUUUAUCAGAAAGAAAUCCACAAUUUCAGACCAUGGACCCUUCAAGCAGUUAGUCUGUCCACUGGCCUGCAUGGGACAGUCCAUAGACAUUAAACAUGUACCAUUUUAUUGUCCAUUUUCAACCCAUAUACUAAUGUCUGCAUGUCAAUGAAAAGUACAUAUUCAGCGAUAAUUUACCAUCCGAUAGCAAUCAUAUGAUAUGAUAUAUAUAAAACUAUGUAUAUCCAUCUAAAAUUUAACAUUUCUCAACCUUGUUAGUCCACGUGGCUCUUUAGGUUCUGUGGUUGCUGGUUCCUUUUUUAUCUACGUGUAAGCAAAUGUGCAUGUACCACUGUCUAUGGAAAAACUCCAACAGCAACUUGUAUUUACUACAGUGAGUUACGCCUCCCACCCGUGGGGGGAGCCUGACUCUAGCCAAGAGAAAUGCUUCCAUUGUGUGGCUUUUUUUAAAUAGCUGACUUACUGUUUCUUUGAAAGCCAUUUAUCAGUCAUAAAACUAAUUAUACAGAUUCACAACAUACCUGCAUACAGUGUUUUACUUUUUUUCACAAAGGUUUCAUAUUGUUUGCAAAUUGUGAGCAUUGGGUGAACCUAGGUUUGGUUGAAUAGUCCAUUUUGCCUCGGAAUGUUGCUGAGUAAAAUGACCCUGGAGUAUAUCAACAACCUCCAUUUUUAGAUUAAAUUCUUUAAAUGAUAGGGAAAGGAACUUCAAGGCUUCCUACCUCUUUUGCGUAAGAAACAAUGAAACAUCCUCUAUGAAAGGAACAGAGAGAUUGAAGCAGCAACUAACCCUAAGCCACCAAAAAAAACUGAACAGCAUUGUUAAUUUCCUGACAUGAUACAAAACUGAUGUCAAUUUUUCAAAUGAUUGUAUGAGCUCCUGAUUCACACAUCUGGCCAGUCAGGAGUUAAGUUAAAAAGAUUAUUCAACUCACAACAUCCUCAUCAGAACUAUAUAGAAAAAUUUAAGUCAGUUGAAAUCCUCUUGUUGCAGAGGUAAUAAUUUUCCAGAUCAAAGCAGUAAUAAAAAAAUUAUUAGGAAUAUUAGCUAUUCGCUGUGAAGAGGAAAUUGUUAAAUGUUUUUUUUUUUUGUGUACAUACAAAACUGUAGUUUCACAGGUUGGUUUGUGUUGUGACUGUGUUUCAUUAUUUAACUUAGUGUGAAGUUUACUUCACCUUGGCCUGUAUAAUACAAUUUCGAACAGAGGGUUAAGACAAACCUGCAUCCACAAAUGCAUUAUUAUUUUGUGCACUGUCUGUCUUACACAUGUAAAUUGAACUGCAGAAAUAUUUUGGGGAUGUUGAAAUAGUUUGUGUUAGAGUGAUGACUGUUUAUUAGUUAGUUUAUAAUUGAUGACUGAUAUGAAAAUAGUGGACCAAAUAUUAAAAAACCAAGCUGCAAAACAAACUCAACAUUAAAACAUGCAGGAUUGUUAAAUGUGACUGAUUUGGAUUAAGCAAGGUGACGCUACUGUGUUAUUAAGUGUGUAUGUCCAUCAUUUUUUAAGUUUCCAGGAAGGAACUCUUGUUGAAUGCUCUUAUUAGAAGUCGCCAUGGAUAAAAGCAUGGUUACAUUACGUAAUGUAAUGUUAAAUUAUGCAAUGUAAUGUAACCACAUGAUGGUAGGUGUUGUUCAAUCAGUACACUAAUUAAAGAAAACAAAUUGGUCAUCAGAUGACCACACAGUACUCUA